rnacentral:sRNA from 1 species
AUCAAUGUUCAAGUUGAGAGUUCUAAGUUGCAAUAUGAUCGAAUUCUACUUAAAAAUGUUAGCCAUGCCUCAUUAUCAAUCAAUCCGACUCAUAUGCUCGACCUACACAUGUUUUCAAAUCUACCAAUCCCUUUAACAAUCAUUAGUUCUUGAACGUGAAUCAAGCAAUGCAUCAUCAAUGAACUCAUUUGGCUAAGGUAAAAGGUCAAGAGACAAAGAUGGUCCCUUAGAGAAUAGGCUUCUGUAACAGGGGAUCUCUCAAAAAAUGAUUAAGCUUUAGUAGAAUGCUAAAGGUAAGUCCCAAGCUAUCCAUACAGAGAUAAGAUCCCAUCUACCCAGAGUAUAUCAAAUGAAGCUCUAAUGGUAAUUCCAUCUCCAAUCCCAAUAUAAGAACUUAACUCUACCCUUUGCAUUCAUGAAUCUUUUAAGCCUUUUUUCUAAUCAUUCUUUUCUUUUCUCUUAACUCUAGGAGAAGCUUUCUCAACACUUUGAUACAUCUAGCAGAUUUGGAUUUCUUUAACAACUAAGUUCCUGUUUUUAACAUUCUAAAAUCAAGGGCUUUUGCCCAUCUUCAAUAGCUAACAAGAACUCUUUCUUUUCUUUACAAAUCCCAAAACCUUUAUUAGACUUUCUUUGCUUCUUUAGCUUACUUCACCUAGAGUCUUUUACCUUUUCUUAUCAAUAAAUCAAUU